AAUUCUCGUAGUCGAAGCUGAAAGGUUGAUCGACCACAUUGGGUCUGAAAAAACCCCAAUGCAAGUUAGUACAGCAGUGAGGAAUCUUGGUCAAUGGCCUAACGGCUGAACUGGCAACUUGGAGAAGUGGCAAGUCUUAUUUUUGAUUAUAAUUUUAGAUAAUCUAUAAGAUUGUAUUAAAAUUGAAUAAAACUUUGUUUAUAUAUUGAUAAUGACAAUAUAUAUAUCGUGUCUUGACUAAUUACGUGCCAGCAGUCGCGGUAAUACGUAAGAGACUAGUGUUAUUCAUCUUAAUUAGGUUUAAAGGGUACCUAGACGGUCAAUAUAGCUUCUAGAAUGUUAGUACUUGACUAGAGUUUGAUGUAAGGGGGCAGUACUUGAGGAGGAGAGAUGAAAUUCUAUUAUACCAAAGGGACUCGGUAAAGGCGAAGGCAGCCCUUUAUGUAAAAACUGACGUUGAAGGACGAAGGCACAGAGCACAAACAGGA
rnacentral:rRNA from 1 species